AUAAACGCUAGCGGCAGGCCUAAUACAUGCAAGUCGAACGGGCAAUAGCAAUAUUGUUAGUGGCGCACGGGUGAGUAACACGUACAUAACUUACCCUCAAUAGGGAGAUAGCCUUGGGAAACUGAGAGUAAUAUCCCAUAGUAUUAUAGAGUGGCAUCAUUUUAUAAUUAAAGCUGAGGCGAUUGGGGAUAGAUGUGCGUCUGAUUAGCUAGUUGGUAGAGUAACGGCCUACCAAGGCUACGAUCAGUAGGGGGCGUGAGAGCGUGGUCCCCCACACGGGUACUGAGACACGGACCCGACUCCUACGGGAGGCAGCAGUAAGGAAUAUUGGUCAAUGCCCGCAAGGGUGAACCAGCCAUGCCGCGUGCAGGAUGACGGCCCUCUGGGUUGUAAACUGCUUUUGGAUAGGAAGAAAAUGAUUUAUUUAUGAGUUUUUGACGGUACUAUCAGAAUAAGCACCGGCUAACUCCGUGCCAGCAGCCGCGGUAAUACGGAGGGUGCGAGCGUUAUCCGGAAUUACUGGGUUUAAAGGGUGCGUAGGCGGUUAGAUAAGUCAGGGGUGAAAGGAUUCAGCUUAACUGGAUAAUUGCCUUUGAUACUGUUUGACUGGAAUUAUGUUGAGGUUGGCGGAAUGUGACAUGUAGCGGUGAAAUGCAUAGAUAUGUCAUAGAACACCGAUUGCGUAGGCAGCUGACUGGGCAUAUAUUGACGCUGAGGCACGAAAGCGUGGGGAGCGAACAGGAUUAGAUACCCUGGUAGUCCACGCCCUAAACGAUGUACACUCGUUGUUUGGACGCA
rnacentral:rRNA from 1 species